GCCGCAGACAAAUAAAAUUGAAUAUUCAUAUCAGCUGAACAAAUUGUAUUUCUAAUGGAUAACCUUUGAAAGUGUGCAUGCUCCGUUGUCAUUACGGGACUGUUCCAUCUCCUGACCCUGUGUUAUUCUGAUGAGCAGAUGUCCACGAGCUGGUCUCUCCCGUACGGACAGCAAACAACAACCCUAACCGAACAGGAAUAAAUUCACACAAAAAACAAGUAACAUUUGUCUUCUUGCCCUUUACAAAUGAAAUUAAAAUGGUAUACAUGAGAACUGAUCAAAUGAUUAUGUGCCAUAAAAAAAUGGGAAAUACCAGACCUACACUGACAUUACUUCAGCCAGGAAGAACGACAGAACAGAAACUUCAAUUGGCGGCCUAUUUUUACAGUAGCAUAUGGCAUAGCCUUCCGCAGGGGGCGUGUGAAGAUGUUUUACUAGCCCUAAACCACCAACCGUGGUGUAAACCAAUGCCCCAGGGAGAAGGCUACCACUAGGUCUACCCCUGUCGCAAACAUCUAAUUACAAUGACCACAUUUAGCUGCACAUCAAGGGAACACGACAACAUGGACAAUGUCAAUGCUUCUACAAAUCUUCUGUGGUCUAAACUUGAUAGCUUGUCAAAGUGUCCAACUGUCAACAACUGACUCUCUACUGGCUGGGGUCUACUACUGGGUACUGACUGGGGUCUCAGAUAGCUCUACUACUGGGUACUGACUGGGGUCUCAGAUAGCUCUACUACUGGGUACUGACUGGGGUCUCAUACAGCUCUACUACUGGGUACUGACUGGGGUCUCAUACAGCUCUACUACUGGGUACUGACUGGGGUCUCAGAUAGCUCUACUACUGGGUACUAACUGGGGUCUCA
ensembl:lncRNA